rnacentral:rRNA from 1 species
UGGGGAAUUUUGGACAAUGGGGGAAACCCUGAUCCAGCCAUCCCGCGUGUGCGAUGAAGGCCUUCGGGUUGUAAAUCACUUUUGGCAGGAAAGAAACGUCAUGGGUUAAUACCCCGUGAAACUGACGGUACCUGCAGAAUAAGCACCGGCUAACUACGUGCCAGCAGCCGCGGUAAUACGUAGGGUGCAAGCGUUAAUCGGAAUUACUGGGCGUAAAGCGUGCGCAGGCGGUUCGGAAAGAAAGAUGUGAAAUCCCAGAGCUCAACUUUGGAACUGCAUUUUUAACAACCGGGCUAGAGGGUGUAAGAGGGAGGUGGAAUUCCGCGUGUAGCAGUGAAAUGCGUAGAUAUGCGGAGGAACACCGAUGGCGAAGGCAGCCUCCUGGGAUAACACUGACGCUCAUGCACGAAAGCGUGGGGAGCAAACAGG